rnacentral:rRNA from 1 species
AAUAGAUACCCCGGUAGUCCACGCCGUAAACGAUGAGUGCUAGGUGUUGGGGGGUUCCACCCUCAGUGCUGAAGUUAACACAUUAAGCACUCCGCCUGGGGAGUACGACCGCAAGGUUGAAACUCAAAGGAAUUGACGGGGGCCCGCACAAGCAGUGGAGCAUGUGGUUUAAUUCGAAGCAACGCGAAGAACCUUACCAGGUCUUGACAUCCUUUGACCACUCUAGAGAUAGAGCUUUCCCCUUCGGGGGACAAAGUGACAGGUGGUGCAUGGUUGUCGUCAGCUCGUGUCGUGAGAUGUUGGGUUAAGUCCCGCAACGAGCGCAACCCUUGACCUUAGUUGCCAGCAUUCAGUUGGGCACUCUAAGGUGACUGCCGGUGACAAACCGGAGGAAGGUGGGGAUGACGUCAAAUCAUCAUGCCCCUUAUGACCUGGGCUACACACGUGCUACAAUGGAUGAUACAAAGGGUUGCGAAGCCGCGAGGCCAAGCCAAUCCCAAAAAAGUCAUUCUCAGUUCGGAUUGUAGG